GCCGGGCGUGGUGGCGCACGCCUGUAAUCCCAGCUACUCAGGAGGCUGAGGCAGUAGAAUCACUUGAAUCUGGGAGGUGAAGGUUGCAGUGAGCCAAGAUCGUGCCACUGCACUCCAGCCUAGGUGUCAGAGUGAGACUCUGUCUCAA
ensembl:misc_RNA Metazoa_SRP Metazoan signal recognition particle RNA